rnacentral:lncRNA from 1 species
AAGAAUUAGAAAAGAAGAACAAACAAAACCCAUUGUCACUAGGAGGAAGAAAAAAGAUCAGAGAAGAAAUAAACAGAGAUUAAAAAAAUAAUAGAAAAGAUCAAUAAAACCAAGACCUAGUUUAAGGAAAAGAUAAACAAAAUCGACAAACCUCUAGCUAGGCUCACCAAGAAAAAAACAGAGAUGACCUAAAUAAAUAAAAUAAGAAAUGAAAGAGGAGAAAUAACUGAUACUGAAUUGAAAGAAUCAUGCACUCCAGUGUUCACUGCAGCACUAUUUACAAUAGUCAAGACAUGGAAGCAAACCAAGUGCCCAUCAACAGACACUUGUCUUAAGAAGAUGUGGUGUAUAUAUUUAGGCAAUGGAAUAUUUCUCAGCCAUAAGAAAGAAUUUCAGCCAUUUGCAACAAUGUGGGUGAACCCAGAGAAUAUUCUACUUAGUGAAGUACAUAAUCUUAGAGGCUUCUUUGUAUAGAAAUCCCUAGUUUUGGGAAAAUUGUGAAUGAAGUAAUUCUUUGAAGUCUUAGAAAUAGAACAUAAAUAUUUUCCCCUAAUUUUGAAAAGAGACAUAAAAAUGCAUCCCUGAAAAUAGCCUAGUAAUAGGAUUCAUUCAUUUAUUCAUUCACAUUUUAAAUUCAACAGAUAGUUACUUAGGGCAUUCUAUGAGCAUAAUACAAUACUAGGAGAUGCAGAGGAUACAAAGAUGAAAAAAAACAAGAUGCCUUUCCUCAGAGAGUUUGCAAUCUAGUUGGGAAAAUAAAAUGUGUGCACAAUGAACUAGACUGCUAGGUAGGACAUAUCCUAUGGAAAUUUUUUCCAUUUGAUUCAACCAACUUCACUGAGCACUUGUGUACCUAUGUUUUACAAGGUGCUAUGGAUAAAAUACGAAUAUAACACUUGUAAUACAGAAAAGUCUUGGAUUAAAGUUGGUCUUUAUGAGGAAUUACUGUGUAGCAUUUAGAGCUUGAGGAAGAAACAAGUUUCUUAGCAUUAGAGGUGUGAUUCAUAGGCUGGUGAUGACAUUUUGGGGAUAUAGAGAAAAAGACAAGCUGAUUCGUUACAGUAUUUAACCAUUACAUUCCUUCAAAUAGUGAAACUUUAAAUUUUUGCGCUUCUUUCAGGGAGUUUCAGAAAUUCUCAAGUU